GUGGGGAAUAUUGGACAAUGGGCGCAAGCCUGAUCCAGCCAUGCCGCGUGAGUGAUGAAGGCCUUAGGGUUGUAAAGCUCUUUCGUCAGGGAAGAUAAUGACGGUACCUGAAGAAGAAGCCCCGGCUAACUUCGUGCCAGCAGCCGCGGUAAUACGAAGGGGGCUAGCGUUGCUCGGAAUCACUGGGCGUAAAGCGCACGUAGGCGGCUUUCUAAGUCAGGGGUGAAAUCCUGGAGCUCAACUCCAGAACUGCCUUUGAUACUGGAGAGCUUGAGUUCGGGAGAGGUGAGUGGAACUGCGAGUGUAGAGGUGAAAUUCGUAGAUAUUCGGAGGAACACCAGUGGCGAAGGCGGCUUACUGGUCCAUUACUGACGCUGAGGUGCGAAAGCGUGGGGAGCAAACAGGAUUAGAUACCCCGGUAGUCC
rnacentral:rRNA from 1 species